UGAACCGUUCGCUUUGCCUGGGUUUGUCAUGCAUCUCUUACUGAAAGGCCAGAUUUUUACAUGCAUAACUUUAAUGUACACCUUGGAGAAAGGGGUAAAUUCCCUGGUGGGCUCCUCCCUGCCAGGGUGAAGAGGAGGCAUUGCCCUGAGCCGGGGCCCUGCUCAAUGUUGUGACUCCCCCAGGCCUGUCACAGAGCUGAGAGAGGCUGUGUCUGUUCCCCUGCAGAGGAGGCAUUGGGUGGGUGAGCAGGCACUAAGGAGACAGGCAGACUCCACCAACAGUGAAGCUGCUUUGCUCUGACCGUGAGAGUUUCUCCCUCCUGUGUUGAAGAUGAUAAUGUUAUGCGGUGGUGAGAUCAUCUCCCUGGAGAUGAAACUUCGCCAGCAAAGGAGCGAAUCCGUGCUACUGAAUCUCGCUGCUCAGACAUCCGAGAUGUUAAACGGAGCAAUUCAGAAAUGCAUUGGACCAUCUUGGAGACGUGAAGUCUGGCUCCACGAGUGACACAUUAAACACAAACUGCGUGUGGAGCGUAAAUAUGUUUUUGACUUUCUAGCAGAAGAGUCUCAGCUUGCUUUGUUUUGCCCUUGAUUGUAAUGCCAGAAACCUUUCUAAAUAUCACUACUCUUGAUGGUGUUAGGAAACAUUAUAUGCCUCAUUCGUUCUCUAAUUUGUAUGAAAACAGCUUACUCCUGCCUUUUGGUUUCUGUAAUGCUUGCUGAUAGCCAGGGAGUCAAAUGCUUUAGUUUUGCUAUGAAUACUUUACUGUAAA